rnacentral:rRNA from 1 species
GUACGGCGAGUGAAGCGGCAAAAGCUCAAAUUUGAAAUCUGGCUCCUUCGGGGUCCGAGUUGUAAUUUGUAGAGGAUGCUUCGGGUGUGGUCACGACCUAAGUUCCUUGGAACAGGACGUCAUAGAGGGUGAGAAUCCCGUCUUGGGCCGUUGGUCACGCCCGUGUGAAGCUCCUUCGACGAGUCGAGUUGUUUGGGAAUGCAGCUCUAAGCGGGUGGUAAAUUUCAUCUAAAGCUAAAUAUUGGCCGGAGACCGAUAGCGCACAAGUAGAGUGAUCGAAAGGUUAAAAGCACCUUGAAAAGGGAGUUAAACAGCACGUGAAAUUGUUGAAAGGGAAGCGCUUGCGGCCAGACUCGAGCGCAGGGUUCAGCGGGUGCGUGUCACCCGUGCACUCCCUGUCGCUCGGGCCAGCAUCAGUUCUGACGGCCGGUCAAAGGCCCCCGGAAUGUGUCGUCUCUCGGGACGUCUUAUAGCCGGGGGUGCAAUGCGGCCCGUUGGGACUGAGGAACGCGCUUCGGCUCGGAUGCUGGCGUAAUGGCCGUAAGCGGCCCGUCUUGAAACACGGACCAAGGAGUCUAACAUCCACGCGAGUGUUCGGGUGUCAAACCCGUGCGCGCAGUGAAAGCGAACGGAGGUGGGAGCCUUAGGGCGCACCAUCGACCGAUCCUGAAGUCUUCGGAUGGAUUUGAGUAGGAGCGUGGCCGUUGGGACCCGAAAGAUGGUGAACUAUGCCUGAAUAGGGUGAAGCCAG